CUCACCGCAGUCGUUCCCGGGAGGCCUCAGCGGCAGUCGCCGGGCGGGGCCUGGUGGCGCUGCGGAUUUUCUGCUGCGCUUUUUGGAGGCCUCUACUGCAACGCCUCGCGCCAUAUGCCCAAGAAAAAUUGGAGCUGGUUCGCCAGUGAACCAUCUUUCUGGGGGAAAAAAUAAGAAAGAGUGAACAACUGACUUAUUCUACAGCUUCUUGAGACUUCUGUACCCCAGGCUGGGGCCGGGAGGCCGAGGCAGGCCACCUGGGUCAGACCUCGGCGAGCCAUCCGAGCCAUCAUCGCUACAGCUGGCUGACUCCCGACCGCGAUGUCCGAAGUGCACUGGGAAGCCUGGAGUCUACCUGUGGGUAUUCCUGGGCCUGUGCUUUGGCGAGAAAACACGAGUAGCUGUUUUGCUCUGCAGUGUCUGCUGCUCACUCCCAGCUCCUGCCUGGGUCUCAUAAGCUUUCGACAGCUAUUGGCUGAUCGAGGCAUACAAGAUAUGAGGCAGCAGCACAUUUGGUGGGUGUGUGGUACUCCGGGGUACAAGACUGAGUGAAGGGAUAGAUGGGAAUAGUGAAUACUUGUAAGAGGGGUAAGAAUGACUUGUUUUUGAAUCUCUCUGAUUCCUGAACUUCAAAAAAAAAAAAAAGAAAAAGAAAAACACAGCAA